AUACGGAGGAUGCAAGCGUUAUCCGGAUUUAUUGGGUUUAAAGGGUGCGUAGGCUGUUUGUCAAGUCAGGGGUGAAAUACCUGAGCCUAACUCAGGAACUGCCUUUGAUACUGGCAGGCUGGAAUACGGAUGCCGUGGGAGGAAUGAGUAGUGUAGCGGUGAAAUGCAUAGAUAUUACUCAGAACACCGAUUGCGAAGGCAUCUGACGAAUCCGUCACUGACGCUGAGGCACGAAAGCGUGGGGAUAGAACAGGAUUAGAUACCCUGGUAUUCCACGCCGUAAACGAUGAUGACUAACCGUCGGCGAUAGACAGCCGGUGGCCAAGCGAAAGCGAUAAGUCAUCCACCUGGGGAGUACGUCGGCAACGAUGAAACUCAAAUGAAUUGGCGGGG
rnacentral:rRNA from 1 species